rnacentral:rRNA from 1 species
AAAAAAUGACGGUACCUAAUAUAAGCAUCGGCUAACUCCGUGCCAGCAGCCGCGGUAAUACGGAGGAUGCAAGCGUUAUCCGGAAUCAUUGGGCGUAAAGAGUCCGUAGGCGGCUAUUCAAGUCUGCUGUUAAAAACCGAAGCUCAACUUCGGAGAGGCGGUGGAAACUGAAGAGCUAGAGUACAGUAGGGGUAGAGGGAAUUCCCAGUGUAGCGGUGAAAUGCGUAGAGAUUGGGAAGAACACCAGUGGCGAAGGCGCUCUACUGGACUUGUACUGACGCUGAGGGACGAAAGCUAGGGUAGCGAAAGGGAUUAGAUACCCCUGUAGUC